rnacentral:rRNA from 1 species
GCCGUAGCGAAAGCGAGUUUUAACUGAGCGUUCAGUUACUUGACGUAGACCCGAAACCGGGCGACCUACCCAUGAGCAGGAUGAAGCGAAAGUAAAAUUUCGUGGAGGUCCGAACCCACGAGCGUUGAAAAGCCCGGGGAUGACUUGUGGGUAGCGGUGAAAUUCCAAUCGAGCCCGGAGAUAGCUGGUUCUCCCCGAAAUAGCUUUAGGGCUAGCCUCAAGGUGAGAGAUACGGAGGUAGAGCACUGAAUGUCCUAGGGG